GGAGAGAUGGCUCAGUGGUUAAGAGCACCAACUGCUCUUCUGGAGGUCCUGAGUUCAAUUCCCAGCAACCACA
rnacentral:tRNA from 1 species